rnacentral:tRNA from 1 species
CAGAGAAUAGUUUAUUUUAGAAUCCUAGCUUUGGGAGCUAGGGGCGGGCGUUAGAGUCGUCCUUCUUUGA